rnacentral:lncRNA from 1 species
GGAAGGAGAGUGACACACAGAGCAUUGAGUUCUCCUGAAUUGACCUCUAAGACAGGAAACUUGGAAAAGAGAAACUUAUUUUUAUGAUUUAACUUCACACACAUAUAUAGCCUCCACCCAGUGGCUGAUGGAAGCAAAGGCAGACACCCACAGCUACACUGAACUGAACUCUGGAAUCCAGUUGCAGAGAGGGAGGAGUGAUGAGCAAAGAGAUCAAGACCGAGCUGGAAGAGCUGACCUGAACAAGGGAAGCACAUGGAACCAAGACUGCUGUAUGGGAGGCCAGCAUGGGACUGAUCCAGACCCCUGAACUCGGGUGUCAGUGAGGAGGCCUUGGCACUCUAUGGGGCCUCUGGUAGUAGCUCAGGCUGCCUGAGGCUUCUUAUUCAGAUGGAGAAUGAACUCUUCACUCAUCAGCCUACUCAAGUUCCAGGGUCAGCUCACAGGACUCUGGGGACCAUGAGUUUGAAGCACAAGGUUUUGAUGUCCUAAGAAUCAAGUCAAAUGCAAGGUGGACCAUUUGACACUGAAUAACAUAUUGAUGAGCUCCUCCCUAAGAUCUUGAAACAAUCAUCUAUAGACAGUGAGAGGGUAACAGAGAAAAAGUGUAAAAUUCAACGGGAAUCCUCAGAAGACUACAGCAAACCGAACUGUAAUGUUUAUUCUGAUUGCAAGGCUAUUGUUUACAUGUGACUGACACGUUGUAAGACAUUCUGUCACCUAAACUUAAGCAGAUCCUGCCUUCUUUACUAAUGUUGUUAGUUAUUAAUUAUUUGCAGUAGCUUGAUUUUCCGCUAAUAUUUUCAAAAUCUCCUUGGCAAAAAUUGAAAACAAGUAAUGAAAACCAGAGACAGACAUUCCUCAAACUACAUAACAAUGCAUUGGAAGUUAGUUUGGGUCAUGGAAGAUAAAAGCCUCAAGGAAAAAAAUAGCCCUUCUAUUAUGGAAAACACUUGGAAAAUAUCUUUGAAAUGUUGGUGACACCUAGUUCUUCAUGAAGACAAUUAAUCAUGGUCCUGAUGGGGUGAAAACACAAGGGAAUUUUCAAUGAAAUGUUUUCUUUCUUCUUCACUGAUGCAAUAUUUGAAAUGGGAGAGGAGGGCAUGUUUUUAAGCAAAGUGCUUGUCAGCAUGAAUGGUUCUCUUCAGUAAAUCAUCUGGAGUCACAUAAACAAAAAUUGUGGACAUAAAAUUAAAAGAUGAAUUUAAUGCCUAUUUCCUUUUGAACUAGUAUUCUUGUGUGUGAAGGACUAAAUAAUGUCUCUGACAUGUUCUUAAACCUUCAUCCAAAGGACUCUAAUUAUAAUGAAAUGCUGCUUAGGAACAAUUAAAACCUGACCAUACUUUAUGAUCUAAUUACUUCCCCAUCAACCACUUAAAAUGGCCAAACUCAUUAAGAAUCACAGCAAGGCCUUAGCAUCCUUUUGUUCCAUACAUGGGGCUCAGUGUAUUCUUUCUCCUUUCAAACAAUCAUUCUUAUUUCCCAAAAAAGGUAAGAAUUUUGGUUGAAGUCACAGGGAUACCAGGUUGGAGCUCACAGCAAAACCCACACCCACUUGUUUCUCUGCUCAGAACCUGUGUUUUCUUCUUUGCAUAGAGGUAAAUGCCAUACAUGACAGAACAGGAUAGUUAGUCAACUGUACUCCUGAAUAUAGGAAACUCGGUCCCAAGGCAAACCAGCACAAACAAACCCAAGUGCACCACCCUAGCCUACACAGGCUUUCUGUUUCUAGAUCCCAGGUAAAGUCAAGGGGUAUUACGAUGACCUUGAUUGGCGUUAAGACAAAAAGAUAGGAUGCCAAGAUAUCUAGAUCCAGGGAUACAAUCUUAUUCUGUGUCCCAGAGACUGCCAAAUAAGUGCAUUGGGUCUCAGUUUCCUCAAUAUGUAAGUGACUUUAGUCCCAUUUAUUUAGUGAAUUCUAUUGUUUCAUUCAUUCAAGUAUUUUCUGAGCACUUACUGUGUACUGAGCACUGAAGAAAAGAGAACAACUGCACUCUUGUGGAGCUUUCUUGAAUGAAAUAUAUGCUAUUAUAGAAUUCACCGUGACCCCUUGUAGCAAAAACUGAAACAAAAUGACUUUCAAGCUUGGUCAAAGUAGCACCAGGGUUGGUGUGCAUUUGUUGUAUGCCUCCAGAGUGUUCUAUUUUGAUUUCUG